rnacentral:lncRNA from 1 species
CGGUGACUUUCUGAAAGCCAGUUUUGUAUAUAGUAGAGUAAUAACCAAGUAACUGAGGUAAUAUGGUUGCUAAAAUUUGCAUUUUAAGGACAUUCUGUUAUAUAAGAAUUCAAUAUAUGAUGGUGUCUAGUGAGAAAAGUGGUUUUUGUUUUGUUUUGUUUUGCUUUGCUUUAAAGUUUUUACUUUCAAAAAACAAAAGGCCUUAAUGUUAGAGCUGCGGCAUUAUUGAUGCCAGGGCCUGUGUCUCCGGAAAGUGUCUCUUUAGAAAUGGCUCAGACCCUUGAGUUUGUUGUGACAUAGAUGAUAUUACUAACCUGAACCUCUAAGGUAUGGGAGAUGUCAGUAACGGUGGGCGGGAGCCAGAGACAAGGCUCCACACUGCCGCCCGCCAUGGCCUAAUGAGUUCUCCUCAGACUUCUAUUCAGUAAAGCCUACAUUCCUACAUUGUGUGGCAGAGAAGAAUUUCAGAAUAUGUGCCAGUAUGAAGAAGUGGAGUGCAUUGAGAGAUUUUUUAACAUUUAGGCAUAGGCAUUAGUAGGUGCUCGGAAUGGACACACCUAAGAGAGUCCCACAGUGUGUCUUAACAGCAGCUUAUGUACAAUUUUUAAAAUGUAUGUAACUAAGUGUGCGUAUGUGUGCAGGUUUCUGAGAUGGCCAGCAGAGGGCGUUGGACCCUUUGGAGCUGGAGCUGCAGGUCACUGCGAGCUGCCUGAUAAGGGACUUGUGAUUAAUUUACUUGUAUGUGUAUGAGUGUUUUGCUCAUGUGUGUGUGCACCAUGUGUGGGCCUUGUCCCCCCCAGUGUCCAGGAGACAUCAGAUGCUCCUGGACCUGUUGUUCGAAGGCUGUGGGGCCACCAUGCAGAUGCUAGGGGUUGCCCUAGGUAUCACAAAGUGCAAACCAAGUGUGCUCUUACCCACUAGACCAUCCCUCCAGUCCCAGAAGUGUGGUUUUUUUCUUUUUUUAAAGUGGUUUGAUAUCAAGCAGUAAGAAGGGUUUUAGGUUUAUGCAGUUAAAUCGUGGAAACAUUGUUAUCAAUCAGUGUUGAUCGUUUGUUCUAAUCAAUGACUUUCAGACAUAGAGAAUCAUUCCUGCUCUCUGUUGUCAUCUUCUCGGGACUCCCUAUAUUCUGUUUUAGCCCAAAGGGGCUUACUAAAAUUUUGAAUGCUCUGAAUUUUUUUUCCUAAAGCUUAAAAAAAAAAAAAAAGACAUUUUCAUCACUGUCUUAAUUUGUUUUCUGUGGAGUCAUUUGAGAAGACUCAAACUUGGGCCUUCUGGUAGAGCAGCCAGUACCUUUAAGCAUUGGUCUGUCUCUCCAGCACUCGGAGAAUUUUAAGAGAUUAUCAGAUGAUAGGAAGAUCAUGGAAAUGUUUCGAAGAGUAUUUGGAAAGUGGAAAAUUCAUGUCCUAUGCCAUACUUAACGUAUUCACAUUAUCUCAAAAACACGUCAUGUGGGACAUUGUCAGUUGGAAGUGGCUCCAGUUAUUUUGUCUGAUACUUAGGAAAGAAAACUAGAGUGCUACCCAGGGUGUAGAAUCUCACAGUCGUCCCUGCCUGACAAAGCUAGAGCAGGCUUUGUCAGAGUAAAUGAGAGCUAGGCCUUUCUCUAGGAGGGGAGAGAAAGGAAGGAGCCGGCCC